GACAGAGGUCCCGAGCGUUAGGCGGAAUCACUGGGCUUAAAGCGUGUGUAGGCGGAUCGUUAAGUGCCUUGUGAAAUCCCAUGGCUUAACCAUGGAACUGCUCGGCAUACUGGCGAUCUUGAGCCACUUAGGGGCAACCGGAACAAAUGGUGGAGCGGUGAAAUGCGUAGAUAUCUGGAGGAAUACCGGUGGCGAAGGCGGCAUCCUGGACCAUAACUGACGCUGAGGUGCGAAAGCGUGGGGAGCAAACAGG
rnacentral:rRNA from 1 species